CUGGAAGCCGAGACCCAACAACCCACUAUGCCUACAGGGUGGGGCCCCAAGGGAAACCCCAAACACAGAGGUUUGGGGGAGCACCCAGUCAAUGCUCCACACAUGGAUGCUGGGAAAGGAAUGCUGCCCUGACUCUGUGGGGAGAGGACCGGGGAAGAUCCACAUUUGGUACUUUCUUCAUCUCUGCACUGUGUGCCGCUUCCUUUGAUUGAUUUUUAUCUGGGCCCUUUAGCUAUAAUAAACCAUAGAUCAAGUGAGGCCAGCCAAGUUCAGCGGAACAGGAGUUUUAUGAGGAGGACCAAGGUAACCUCAAGCCAAGAGUGACUUCAGGGAGAACACAAGUCUGACGGGAAGGCCAAGUACAGCAGGGAGACUAAGGAGGCGAGAGGGACAGGCGGCAGAGGCAGAGGCCAAAGAUGAGGCCCAUCGGCUCAGUUUUUUGGAAGGCAGGCCCAGACAUGAAAAAAGGAUGCCAGUGCUCUCUCUUCUCCUUCCACACAUCCCGGCUGUGACUCUCAGGCUAACACAACUGCCACACUGUUCACACAGGUUUGCAUGGAUACCCUGUGAAUGCAGCUACUGUUUACCCAUGUACAGCAGGGCCCCUAAGAAAACAUUUGUCGUGAAUCUCCAGUCCUUUCCCUCAGAGCAACCCCAGAAGUCCACUUCCUUAGUGGCCAGGCCCCUGCAGCCACCUCUGGACACCCAGGACAUCCUGGAGACCAGUGCUCAGAAUGACAAGCACGGUCUCCUCAGCCGACCAGACAAGCUUCCACAUACGCAGGUGCAGAUUCUGUAACCACCUCCUAUCCAGGUGGAAAAUCCACAAUGGCAAAGAGGCACCCCUUGUUUUCAAGUUGACACACAAGCAUCUAUCCCCUGGAGACAGCUAGCCCUCCUCUUCCAGGAGAGAUGGGGCUCCCCUCAGCCCUCCACCCACUCUCCAGCCCUGACCUCCCAGCCCUUCCGGCCACCUCCUCACCACGUCUUUGCUCCAUUACACUUGUCUCAAUCUAGGCUCUGAGGCCCUAAUCAAAUCUGGCAUCUCCCUAGCUCUCUUUCAGUCUGGCUGCCUCCCAUAUGGCUGGCUGAUCAACAUCUUUCUGCUUUAAAUACUACAGAAGCUACAGAUCAACUUGUAUUUAUUUUCAAACAUGCAUGCAUGCAAUGGGAAUUUAAUUCUGUGUGUGAAAGAAAUAUUGUUAAAUGACAGUUGAAUUUGUGGUACCUGUUUCAGAAAGGAUUCCAGGGCUGAAAGUGCAGCUUUUUUCAAUUCUACAUUUGUGUGGGCACACCACUUUAACAAGACUUCAAAUAGAGACACGUAGUUGUCCAGAAGGCAGGUGCUAAACUGAGAUGCAUGCAGGGCAAAUAGGCGCAAGCCAGCUGCAAAUGCAAAUGCCAUUAUAUUUAAAAUCAGACGACAUAACACAGAACAGAAAACCAACAAACCUGCAGGGAUAUGUCAAAGUCAAGACUGUGCUCAGGAAGAUCUAGUACCAUUACACUACAGUAACCCAGGGAUUCCUGUCAGAGCUCUAACACUGCCAAUCAACAGGCCCAUAACUUGGCUGACAAAUCCCAAAACAAGGGUCAGAAGUGGAAUCAGGAUUCAUUGAGGCAAAGUCAGAAUCAAACAGCCUGGAUCCCCUGAAAGACACCCUAAAAUAAAGUGCUUUCAACCAUGUAA